rnacentral:rRNA from 1 species
AACAGGAUUAGAUAGCCUGGUAGUCCACGCCGUAAACGAUGAGUGCUAGGUGUUAGGCCCUUUCCGAGGCUUAGUGCCGCAGCUAACGCAUUAAGCACUCCGCCUGGGGAGUACGACCGCAAGGUUGAAACUCAAAGGAAUUGACGGGGGCCCGCACAAGCGGUGGAGCAUGUGGUUUAAUUCGAAGCAACGCGAAGAACCUUACCAGGUCUUGACAUCCCGAUGCUAUUCCUAGAGAUAGGAAGUUUCUUCGGAACAUCGGUGACAGGUGGUGCAUGGUUGUCGUCAGCUCGUGUCGUGAGAUGUUGGAUUAAGUCCCGCAACGAGCGCAACCCCUAUUGUUAGUUGCCAUCAUUAAGUUGGGCACUCUAGCGAGACUGCCGGUAAUAAACCGGAGGAAGGUGGGGAUGACGUCAAAUCAUCAUGCCCCUUAUGACCUGGGCUACACACGUGCUACAAUGGUUGGUACAACGAGUCGCGAGUCGGUGACGGCAAGCAAAUCUCUUAAAGCCAAUCUCAGUUCGGAUUGUAGGCUGCAACUCGCCUACAUGAAGUCGGAAUCGCUAGUAAUCGCGGAUCAGCACGCCGCGGUGAAUACGUUCCCGGGUCUUGUACACACCG